UACGUAGGGUGCAAGCGUUGUCCGGAAUUAUUGGGCGUAAAGAGCUCGUAGGCGGUCUGUCGCGUCGGCUGUGAAAUCCCGAGGCUCAACCUCGGGUCUGCAGUCGAUACGGGCAAACUUGAGUGUUGCAGGGGAGACUGGAAUUCCUGGUGUAGCGGUGAAAUGCGCAGAUAUCAGGAGGAACACCGGUGGCGAAGGCGGGUCUCUGGGCAACAACUGACGCUGGAGGAGCGAAAGCGUGGGGAGCGAACAGG
rnacentral:rRNA from 1 species